CCUACGGGAGGCAGCAGUGAGGAAUAUUGGUCAAUGGACGAGAGUCUGAACCAGCCAAGUAGCGUGAAGGAUGACUGCCCUAUGGGUUGUAAACUUCUUUUAUAUGGGAAUAAAAUGUUCCACGUGUGGGAUUUUGUAUGUACCAUAUGAAUAAGGAUCGGCUAACUCCGUGCCAGCAGCCGCGGGAAUACGGAGGAUCCGAGCGUUAUCCGGAUUUAUUGGGUUUAAAGGGAGCGUAGGUGGAUUGUUAAGUCAGUUGUGAAAGUUUGCGGCUCAACCGUAAAAUUGCAGUUGAAACUGGCAGUCUUGAGUACAGUAGAGGUGAGCGGAAUUCGUGGUGUAGCGGUGAAAUGCUUAGAUAUCACGAAGAACUCCGAUUGCGAAGGCAGCUCACUGGACUGCAACUGACACUGAGGCUCGAAAGUGUGGGUAUCGAACAGGAUUAGAUACCCCAGUAGUC
rnacentral:rRNA from 1 species